GUGACUGGCAGUGCCAACAUCAAGGCUCUUCCUUAUGAAAAGCUGUUUGAGAACACUGGACUGCAAGAAAGAGAAGGGAAGGCUUAUAUUUUCAAUGAACUUCCAGAAAGUGCCCUGAAACUGGGAUGACCUUCUAUAUUCAGCCAUAAGGAUCACACAACGAAUUAGACAGUACAAAAGCCGAAAUGAAGACUAGGUCUGUAAAGGUACAGAAGAACAGUAUCUUUAGAAACUCUAUGAUACAAUUCAUCCGACAUAAAAUGACUUCAAAAAUCUCCCCAGCUUCUCCACCUAAUCCUGAAAACUCUACUAAAAUAUGAAACCUCCCACACAGCACAGACUGAAAUUUCAAUCUCUGCUAAGUUUGCAGGAUAAGGAAUGUAAGAAACUAGUCUGCUCAAAUUCUGUUUCUUCUCUAGGCCUACUGUAAGAGUUGGCCCUAUCUUACCAUUUCCACAUACUUUUUUUUCCUAUUUCUGCUUAAGCCUUCUGUGCCACAAAAA